AUAUCAUAGCACAUCAUUAAUGCACAUGCAUAAAAUCAUGGCAUUUCACAUCAUCAUGCAAGACAGGACUCCACAUCCUAUCCUAGUGGACAUGAUCUUUCCUAUUGUGCUUGACCUUCUAUAACACCUAUGAGCCCGACACUCUAGGUCCGACCAUAUGAACCUAGGGCUCUGAUACCAUUCUGUAACGACCCGAAAAUCGGACCGCUACCGGCGCUAGGAUCUGGGUCGACUUAAGGCCGCC
rnacentral:lncRNA from 1 species